rnacentral:sRNA from 1 species
AUUCUACCCAUGUGGGGAAGGAUGAGAAGCUUCGACUAAGGUUCGAUUCGAGCGAAAGCGAGA